rnacentral:lncRNA from 1 species
CUCUUCCCUCAUUUCUUUCCACAUUCCUGUUUUCCAACGCCCACUCUUACCUGCUUAGCACUCAGCUUCACUGUCUCAUUGAACACAGUCCAGAUGACACCCUGGCUGCAGGGAGGUGUGGUCAGAGACCCUUCAUAUCGGUAGUAGCGACUGAGGUCCGAGGGCAACAGUGCAGAUACAUCCAAACCUGGGAUCUCAAUCUUGGAGCCUACAGGACAGGGUCUCUGUUGGGGUCUCACCUAGAUCACCCCCAACUCAGAAGCUUCCGGGACAAGCAUAGUUUCGCUGCUUCUCACUAUGUGUGGUUAAUGCAUAAAGGAAGUAAAGGGCUUUGGACAUUAGAGGAGGCCAUCUCUCCAGCCUCAAGAAAAAAGCUCGUAAGCCCUCCUUUGGCACCUUUGAUCAUCCGAAUACACAACUAUACCAGGCAGGACUGCUGACUUAAGCCCAGACUGGAAUAAAAUGGAAUUGGGAUAUAGCCAAUA